GCUAAACAGCUAGCCCCGCCCACCAAAAACAACAAAUAAAUAUAAAUAACCCCAAAUACACCAACAUUACCAUUAAACAAACCAUUUUUCCUCCCUAGUAUAGGCGAUAGAAAAGGACCUGUUGGAGCAAUAGAGAAAGUACCGCAAGGGAACGCUGAAAGAGAAAUGAAACAACCCAUUACAAGCAUAAAAAAGCAGAGAUUUAAACUCGUACUUGU
rnacentral:rRNA from 1 species